UGCGUAGGCGGUUCAGUAUGUCGGUCGUGAAAUCCCCGGGCUUAACCUGGGAACUGCGGCCGAAACUGCUGGGCUUGAGUGUGGUAGAGGGCGGUGGAAUUCCGGGUGUAGCGGUGAAAUGCGUAGAGAUCCGGAGGAACAUCAAUGGCGAAGGCAGCCGCCUGGGCCACAACUGACGCUGAGGUACGAAAGCGUGGGGAGCAAACAGGAUUAGAUACCCUGGUAGUCCACGCUGUAAACGAUGAGAACUAGACGUUGGCCAGCUUGGUCUGGUCGGUGUCGCAGCUAACGCGAUAAGUUCUCCGCCUGGGGAGUACGGCCGCAAGGUUGAA
rnacentral:rRNA from 1 species